AUUGAACGCUGGCGGCAUGCUUUACACAUGCAAGUCGAGCGGCAGCGCGGGGGCAACCCUGGCGGCGAGCGGCGGACGGGUGAGUAAUGCAUCGGAACGUAUCCCGUAGUGGGGGACAACCCAGCGAAAGCUGGGCUAAUACCGCAUAUGCUCUACGGAGGAAAGUGGGGGACCUGCAAGGGCCUCACGCUAUGGGAGCGGCCGAUGUCCGAUUAGCUAGUUGGUGGGGUAAAGGCUUACCAAGGCGACGAUCGGUAGCUGGUCUGAGAGGAUGAUCAGCCACACUGGGACUGAGACACGGCCCAGACUCCUACGGGAGGCAGCAGUGGGGAAUUUUGGACAAUGGGGGCAACCCUGAUCCAGCCAUGCCGCGUGCGGGAAGAAGGCCUUCGGGUUGUAAACCGCUUUUGGUCGGGAAGAAAGGGUUCUCCCUAAUACGGAGGACUGUUGACGGUACCGGCAGAAUAAGCACCGGCUAACUACGUG
rnacentral:rRNA from 1 species